rnacentral:misc_RNA from 1 species
GAUGAAGAACGUAGCGAAAUGCGAUACUUGGUGUGAAUUGCAGAAUCCCGUGAACCAUCGAGUUUUUGAACGCAAGUUGCGCCCGAAGCCUUUUGGCCGAGGGCACGUCUGCCUGGGCGUCACGCAUCGCGUCGCCCCCCUACAAUUCUCUGUAAAGGGAACUCGUGUUUUGGGGGCGGAUAUUGGUCUCCCGUGCUCAUGGCGUGGUUGGCCGAAAUAGGAGUCCCUUCGAUGGACGCACGAACUAGUGGUGGUCGUAAAAACCCUCGUCUUUUGUUUCGUGCUGUUAGUCGCGAGGGAAACUCUAAGAAAACCCCAGCGUGUCGUCUUUUGACGGCGCUUCGACCGCGACCCCAGGUCAGGCGGGACUACCCGCUGAGUUUAAGCAUAUCAAUAAGCGGAGGA